rnacentral:rRNA from 1 species
GAUAAACGCUGGCGGCGUGCCUAACACAUGCAAGUCGAACGUCCUCUCUCGCAAGAGAGAGGGAGUGGCGGACGGGUGAGUAACACAUGGGUCACCUACCCUUAAGUGAGGAAUACCGGCGAGAAAUCGCCGACAAGACCGCAUAGGCUCUCUCUUUUGCAAGAGAGAGCAAAGCUUCGCAAGAGGCGCUUGAGGAUGGGGCCUGUGGCCGAUUAGCUGGUUGGAGGGUAAUGGCUUACCAAGGCGACGAUCGGUAGCUGGUCUGAGAGGACGAUCAGCCACACUGGGAUUGAGAACGGCCCAGACUCCUACGGGGGCAGCAGUGAGGAAUUUCCGCAAUGGGGGCAACCCUGACGGAGCAACGCCGCGUGCAGGAAGACGCUUUUCGGAGUGUAAACUG